AAUACUGCGUACAAGAAGACCAAGCAGGGGCCAACCGAAAUGUCUGGAACAGCCGAACAUCUGGAACAUGACUGCUUUUCCGUAAGACUCAGAUGGCAGUGACUGAGUUGCCUUGAGUGAACGAUGAGGCGUGAUCAGCACACGAGAGAGCUGCACGUCUGCCGGUCUACAUCCGCGUGAGCUGCUCUAUUCAACGCCGCGCACGCUCUAUGCGACGGCGUUCCCGCUACUUCCCUCUGCAACUUAUCAUCGUCGCCAAGCGCAUCCUGAGAAAAAAAGCGAUAGGCGAUGGGAAAACGCCCAACCUACAAUGGGCGCUGACAGCACGGUACUUCCUACGCUGCUAUAUCAACAGCCAUGGCUUAUGAAAGGUGAGUCAGGAGUGCAGCAAUGUCACUAUCCCCUGAAAAAAGAAUUCCUCAGGAGACACGGAAUGUGUGGUCUAGCAUCUAAGCAAUUCAAACACCGAGAA